rnacentral:sRNA from 1 species
CUUUAUGGCGGGCCGUGUGGCGCGGGCCUUCCGGCUUUACCGUUUCGACAGGAAGUAACCCGACUUCGAACGCCACUCGGCUCGCCACCCAA